rnacentral:SRP_RNA from 1 species
CCGUGCUAGGCGGGGAGGUAGCGGUGCCCUGUACUCGCAAUCCGCUCCAGCGAGGCUGAAUCCCUUCCUGAGGCCUGCACUCUGUAAGGUCUGCCUCAAGUAAGUGGUGUUGACGCCCGGGUCCUGCGCAAUGGGAACCCAUGAACCAUGUCAGGUCCGGAAGGAAGCAGCAUUAAGUGGACUCUCUCAUGUGCCGCGGGGUUGCCUGGGCCGAGCUAACUGCUUGAGUAACGCUUAUGGAUGCAUGUCGACGGAAGGUGCACGG